rnacentral:rRNA from 1 species
AACGAACGCUGGCGGCAUGCCUAACACAUGCAAGUCGAGCGAGACCUUCGGGUCUAGUGGCGCACGGGUGCGUAACGCGUGGGAACCUGCCCUUAGGUUCGGAAUAACUCCCCGAAAGGGGUGCUAAUACCGGAUAAUGUCUUCGGACCAAAGAUUUAUCGCCUUUGGAUGGGCCCGCGUUGGAUUAGCUAGCUGGUAGGGUAAAAGCCUACCAAGGCGACGAUCUAUAGCUGGUCUGAGAGGAUGAUCAGCCACACUGGGACUGAGACACGGCCCAGACUCCUACGGGAGGCAGCAGUGGGGAAUAUUGGACAAUGGGCGAAAGCCUGAUCCAGCAAUGCCGCGUGAGUGAUGAAGGCCUUAGGGUUGUAAAGCUCUUUUACCCGGGAUGAUAAUGACAGUACCGGGAGAAUAAGCUCCGGCUAACUCCGUG